rnacentral:rRNA from 1 species
AUUGAACGCUGGCGGCAGGCCUAACACAUGCAAGUCGAACGAGUGGCGGACGGGUGAGUAAUGUCUGGGAAACUGCCUGAUGGAGGGGGAUAACUACUGGAAACGGUAGCUAAUACCGCAUACCAUCAGAUGUGCCCAGAGGGGAUUAGCUAGUUGGUGGGGUAACGGCUCACCACGGCGACGAUCCCUAGCUGGUCUGAGAGGAUGACCAGCUACACUGGAACGGAGACACGGUCCAGACUCCGACGGGUGGCAGCAGUGGGGAAUAUUGCACAAUGGGAGCAAGCCUGAUGCAGCCAUGCCGCGUGUAUGAAGAAGGCCUUCGGGUUGUAAAGUACUUUCAGCGGGGAGGCGUUACCCGCAGAAGAAGCACCGGCUAACUCCGUGCCAGCAGCCGCGGUAAUAC